AGUGAACGCUGGCGGUAGGCCUAACACAUGCAAGUCGAACGGCAGCACAGUAAGAUCUUGCUCUUACGGGUGGCGAGUGGCGGACGGGUGAGGAAUACAUCGGAAUCUACUUUUUCGUGGGGGAUAACGUAGGGAAACUUACGCUAAUACCGCAUACGACCUACGGUUGAAAGCAGUGGAUCUUCGGACCUUGCGCGAUUGAAUGAGCCGAUGUCGGAUUAGCUAGUUGGCGGGGUAAAGGCCCACCAAGGCGACGAUCCGUAGCUGGUCUGAGAGGAUGAUCAGCCACACUGGAACUGAGACACGGUCCAGACUCCUACGGGAGGCAGCAGUGGGGAAUAUUGGACAAUGGGCGCAAGCCUGAUCCAGCCAUACCGCGUGGGUGAAGAAGGCGUUCGGGUUGUAAAGCCCUUUUGUUGGGAAAGAAAAGCAGCAGGUUAAUACCCAGCUGUUCUGACGGUACCCAAAGAAUAAGCACCGGCUAACUUCGUG
rnacentral:rRNA from 1 species